rnacentral:rRNA from 1 species
UACAGAGGGUGCGAGCGUUAAUCGGAAUCACUGGGCGUAAAGCGCACGUAGGCGGAUUGUUAAGUCAGGGGUGAAAUCCUGGAGCUCAACUCCAGAACUGCCUUUGAUACUGGCGAUCUUGAGUCCGGGAGAGGUGAGUGGAACUGCGAGUGUAGAGGUGAAAUUCGUAGAUAUUCGCAAGAACACCAGUGGCGAAGGCGGCUCACUGGCCCGAUACUGACGCUGAGGUGCGAAAGCGUGGGGAGCAAACAGG